rnacentral:sRNA from 1 species
GUAUGCUGCCAGCAGCAGUCGAUUCAAGUCCGGUAUUUGCUGUACGGUGGUCACCCCGCCUUCAAGGCGCUGUCUUUCCAGUCCUGCGACGUUUCUUGAUUUCGUUUGCAUCCGGGCAUGUGCCCGGCUUUAUAUUUUUUCAAGGAAACUAGCAUGUCAACUGGUACAGUAAAGUGGUUCAACGAUGCGAAGGGUUUUGGCUUCAUCACUCCCGAUGACGGCGGUGAAGACCUGUUCGCGCAUUUCUCCGAAAUCCAGGCCAGUGGCUUCAAGUCGCUGCAAGAAGGCCAGAAAGUCAACUUCGAUGUGAAGAUGGGUCCGAAAGGCAAGCAGGCCGCCGCUAUCAAGCCGGUAUAACUCCCGACUUCGACAAAAACCGCAGCUUGGGCUGCGGUUUUUUUA